rnacentral:lncRNA from 1 species
GGAACUGGGUCCGGUCCACUUGACCGGCCCAGUCCCAAGUUUUGGCCUCACGUGCGCCGGCAACGGGAUGGAGGGAUCCAUCCCGAAGAAGAAGGAGCCCCUGUUUUAGGGCUCCUUCUCCUUCUCCUUCUCCUUUGAGUCCACCGAAGGAGAGCCGCCACACCCAAGAAAGAAAGGGGGAAGGUCUUCUUCGCGUUGCCGGAGAGAGAGGAAGAGGGAGAGCCGAGGCACGGGUGACCCUUUUCCUUCAUUGCCGCCGGAGAGGAAAGCCGCCGGACCUUCGUCGAGGCUGAGGUAAGGCCUUUUCCUCCUCCUCUCUUGGUGAUUAGCCACGGUGUAUGGGGGUUUUGAGCCGGCCGAUCGCCAGAUUUUGGUCCAAAACGGGAUACUCUACUUCGGCUGUUUUUCGCCGCCGCCAGCCGCCGGGGGUGGUCGGGCUUGCUCCGCCACCUCCUGCCGCCGUCAGGUCCGGCCACCGCGGCCGCCCUUGGGCCCGACCGAGAGGGAAGAAGAAAGGGGCGGGGGGGGUCACGGAUCCCCUGUUUCGCCGAAGAAGAAGAGGGGAGUCGGGAGAGAAAAGAAGAAAGA